GACGAACGCUGGCGGCGUGCUUAACACAUGCAAGUCGAACGGUAAGGCCUUUCGGGGUACACGAGUGGCGAACGGGUGAGUAACACUAGGGUGAUCGCCCCUGCACUUCGAGAUAAGCCCGGGACACUGAGUCGAAUAUCGAAUAGCACUGCGCGGAUCAUACCGCGUGGGGGAAAGAUUUAUCGGUGGAGGAUGGGCCCGCGGCCUACCAGCGUGUUGGUGGGGUAAUGGCCUACAAAGGCGACGACGGGUAGCCGGCCCGAGAGGGGGAACGGCCACACUGGGAAGGCUACAACGCCAAGCAGCCUUAGGGAAGAAUGGGUGAGGGUUGCUGCACAGUGGGAGCCAGGCUGAUGGCGCGAAGCCGCGCGAGGGAUGACGGACUUCGGGUUGUCAACCGAUAACAGCAGGGAGGACGCGUGAGUGACGGUAACUGCAGAAGAAGCAACGGCCAACUACGUG
rnacentral:rRNA from 1 species